rnacentral:rRNA from 1 species
UAGAGUUUGAUCAUGGCUCAGAUUGAACGCUGGCGGCAGGCUUAACACAUGCAAGUCGAGCGGUAGCACAGGGGAGCUUGCUCCCUGGGUGACGAGCGGCGGACGGGUGAGUAAUGUCUGGGAAACUGCCUGAUGGAGGGGGAUAACUACUGGAAACGGUAGCUAAUACCGCAUAACGUCGCAAGACCAAAGAGGGGGACCUUCGGGCCUCUUGCCAUCAGAUGUGCCCAGAUGGGAUUAGCUAGUAGGUGGGGUAAUGGCUCACCUAGGCGACGAUCCCUAGCUGGUCUGAGAGGAUGACCAGCCACACUGGAACUGAGACACGGUCCAGACUCCUACGGGAGGCAGCAGUGGGGAAUAUUGCACAAUGGGCGCAAGCCUGAUGCAGCCAUGCCGCGUGUGUGAAGAAGGCCUUCGGGUUGUAAAGCACUUUCAGCGAGGAGGAAGGUGGUGAGCUUAAUACGUUCAUCAAUUGACGUUACUCGCAGAAGAAGCACCGGCUAACUCCGUGCCAGCAGCCGCGGUAAUACGGAGGGUGCAAGCGUUAAUCGGAAUUACUGGGCGUAAAGCGCACGCAGGCGGUUUGUUAAGUCAGAUGUGAAAUCCCCGGGCUCAACCUGGGAACUGCAUUUGAAACUGGCAAGCUAGAGUCUCGUAGAGGGGGGUAGAAUUCCAGGUGUAGCGGUGAAAUGCGUAGAGAUCUGGAGGAAUACCGGUGGCGAAGGCGGCCCCCUGGACGAAGACUGACGCUCAGGUGCGAAAGC